GACGGGGCAAAGUUAUUUUUCAAUCGUUUAUUCGAAGCCCACCUCAAAACAUGUCCCUAUCUACUAUCUCGCGAAACCACAGCCAAGGGAACGGGCUUGGAAAAAUCAGCGGGGAAAGAAGACCCUGUUGAGCUUGACUCUAGUCUGACUCUGUGAAGAGACAUGAGAGGUGUAGCAUAAGUGGGAGGCCGUGAACCCUCGCGGUUGUGUCGUGCCGGCAGUGAAAUACCACUACUUUCAUCGUUUCUUUACUUACUCGGUGAAGCGGAAAGCGGACCAUGAGUGUCCACGCUUCUAGCACUAAGUGCAAGGCCCUUCGUUGGCCCGCAUGAUCUGUUCCGAGGACAGUGUCAGGCGGGGAGUUUGACUGGGGCGGUACAUCUGUC
rnacentral:ncRNA from 1 species